CGCUGUUCCGACCCAAAGCGCCCCUGAUUGCUGCACGUCGGAGCCGUUUUAUCGUCGCUGUCACGAUCCGGGCUGUGUGCUCUGCAGAGCGGCUCAGCUAGCAGCGAGCUAACCGGUGGCUUCGGACUGAGAUUCUCUUACGGUUCAGACAGAUGCAGACGGACGUGAGAAGAAGCCCCGGUUUAGACUUUCAAAAUAAAACGUGACUGCCUUUUCCUGUGGGCUUAAGCCGUUAGUAAUCAACGUCAUGCUUUUAUUUUGAAAACAUCUGAUGUGCUGGAGGUUUCCAGCUUGAUUCGGGUUGAACAUCAUGUUUCCUUGCGUUGUAGCGCUACUGAUCCUACAUGAGUUGCAUUAUUCAUGUCCCUUUGCAGAUGUGGCGGUUCUGUCCGCCGCCGCGGCUCUUUUAACGCACACAUCCUGGAUCAUCAGCAGUAUCUGGACCCGUUCAAAGCGGAAAUGUGCCCCCAGUAUCAUUAAUCACGACUCAGCUUAUUAAAAAAUCUGAGGGCAGGACGCUGCGCCGAGGCUCAGUCCCUCCAGCUCAUUGAGAGGAACGCUGGGAGAACUGGGACCAGUAUGGUCACUUGUAACACCGCUGGUCCUUUGCUAAGGAGGGCCAGCAGAUGCUGUCACAUGGUCCUCAUGUGAGGAAGACCUUUAGAUCCAGAUGUUAACCAGAGUCCUGAACCUGAUGUCAGCAUGCUCUGCAGCUGCAGGCUUCAUGUGGAUGAAAAUCCUUCAUAUUGAAGCUCAGUUACCAUUCAAAUAUACUAAGAAAUAUUACAUCACUAAGCAAUGCUUAAUAGAAAACCAAAAUUGCAGUCAUGUUUUUAAUCAAUUUUAAAUUAACUGUUUUAUAUUUUAAAUAUUUUAUGAAUGGGACUUGUUUUAAUUUUUAUAACAAUUGUUUUCUGUAAAUUACACUACUUUUAGCCAUACAUUAAAAUCUGUCAUAAAUCAUAGGUCAUGUAUGUAUGUUAUGAUGUUAAUUAUAAUUUUUUAAUCCCUUCUAUCAAUCUGCUAGGGGACUACAUAUGAAAGACAGCCUCUUUGGCUAAAUCUGGCAUUUUUACGUGAUUCAUGUUGAUUAAUAUGCAUUGUCCCCUUUUAUAAAAAUAAAUCUAAAAUUGCUUCACUUACAGUCA